AGCAGCCGCGGUAAUUCCAGCUCCAAUAGCGUAUAUUAAAGUUGUUGCAGUUAAAAAGCUCGUAGUUGAAUUUUAGGCCUGACCGGACGGUCCGUCUCUGGCGAGUACUGUUCUGUUGUCGGGUCUAUCCUUCUGGUGAGCCGGUAUGCCCUUUAUUGGGUGUGUCGGGGAACCAGGACCAUUACCUUGAAAAAAUUAGAGUGUUUAAAGCGGGCUUUUGCUUGAAUAGAUUAGCAUGGAAUAAUAGAAUAGGACGUUGGUUCUAUUUUGUUGGUCUAGGACCACCGUAAUGAUUAAUAGGGAUAGUUGGGGGCAUUAGUAUUCAAUCGUCAGAGGUGAAAUUCUUGGAUUUAUUGAAGACUAACUACUGCGAAAGCAUUUGCCAAGGAUGUUUUCAUUAAUCAAGAACGAAAGUUAGGGGAUCGAAGACGAUCAGAUACCGUCGUAGUCUUAACCAUAAACUAUGCCGACUAGGAAUCGGGCGACGUUAUUUUCAUGACUCGCUCGGCGCCUUAUG
rnacentral:rRNA from 1 species